rnacentral:lncRNA from 1 species
UAUUACAAGAGGAAACGGAAAUCGUAGAACACCAGAGCAUUGAAAUACAUUGAGUACUGUACUUACAAAUCCCAUUCACACAAACUGAAUUAAAAGAGCUAAACCACAAUCAACAACAAGAGAAAAUAUGAAUUUUAGGACUCAUUUGAUUAAGCAUCCGGCCAUGCAUCUUGCUCUAGUAGUAGUUCACUUUCCUGCAGUUGACGCGGACCUCGCCUUGGUUCCCGACGAGCGGGC